GCCAGGUGGCGGGGUUUAUAGAAGUGUCUCCACCAACACGGAUCACCUGUUCAUUUCCUGUGAAUGUGCAGAAUGAACUAUUCCUACCACCUAGGACUGAGGAUUUCUACUAGUAAGGACUGAAAACUAGAGACCUCAGCAUUCUAAAGGUUCUAGAGAGGUUGGUAGUCUCCCCCAACAUCAUUUGGACUGAAUUUCACACCUCCCAGGCUGACGAGGGCUCAAGAGACUAAUUAUAAAUAUUCAACUCUUUCAGGAAAGGCUGCUGCACGACAUAUUUCCUUUUCAACCAUCUAGAAACACUUGCCCGCCUUCUUUGUCCUGCUUUCUUCUCUGAGUGCCUGAUUGCAGACUCACUUCCCACGACUGAGUCACCUCACCAAAGAACAUGGUUUCUCUUCAGUCAGCCUUCUCCUCAUACCUUCCAGCCUUUAAUUCAGCAACUGUCUGGCUUCACCCCUUGGCCUGGGGCAAGAACAAACCUGCUGUUGCUAGCCUUGGGUCUGGGCUAUAUAUAUAUACCCUUUCUAUACCUUGUAAAUAAUCCCCUUAUUAAAUCUG